CAUCUGGGGCAGACGGGCCGUCUCGGACUCGCUACAAAUCGGGCGCCCGGGGAGAAGCGCAGGGCCAUCGGGGGCCGAACCCAGCGCGCGCACCAACCCACCCGGGCAUAGAGGCAGACCCGCGUUCCGGGGAACCCUCCGCCCAUCUGGCGGGGGCCCCCGGGUGGCGGGUCACGGUUGCAAAUCGGUCAGAAUUUUCACGUAAAGCAUUUCCUCCACCGGCGCGCCCCGGCCGAAGCCAAAGCGCCCGGGGACGGCGCACCGCCGGCGGGCGCGCGCACCGGAGGCGGGCCGCCCCGCCGCCAUCUCUCUCGCUCAGCGAUCCAGCCGCGAAACCCACCGACCAGCCACAGUGCCCGGAACGAGGCUCCGGUUCGUUCACCCUCGCCACUGUCCGAGGGCGUCCGAAAAUACUGAGGUCUGAGUCGGAUCCAAAACGCACAAACGUCGGUCCUCACUCCUGGAGGCCUAUGUUUCUAAAAACCAGGUUUCUGAAAUCUGCGACCUGGUGGCCCAGUGAUGUCGGCUACAACUUUUUUUUUCCGGUCCGAUCAAAAUUCUCCAGGCAUUUUCUGAGCUUUCCUUCACAUAGUCCGACUUUUACUUAGUUUCUGACGGAGCCAAAAAAGUCCGGGUUUUUUUGCCCUCCUUAUCGUCCCGACUGGAAACUUUAACUCCGGAUUUUAAGUCAGAAAAUUAAAGUCCUUUUCAUCCAGGAGACCGACCCUUCCUGCAAAGCGUCCCAAAUGGUCCUUCGUCGUCGGAUAUCUGUCGGGAAAUACCGCUCCAUGGAACUGUUUAUUUCAUCCAUCCACUGCACCUGCUGUUCUGACAUCAGCAUCCGAGAAUAGUGUCCCGUACUGGGACAUGGUCUGGGUUCUGCCGCUCUCUGGAACUCUGUAUUCAUCCAUGCGUUACACCUGCUGUUCUGACAUCAGCAUCCGAGAAUAGUGUGUCGUUCUGGGACAUGGUCUGGGAUCUCCUGCUCUAUGGAACUGUUUACUUCAUCCAUCCACUGCACCUGCUGUUCUGCCAUCAGUGUCCGAGAACAGUGCUUCUUCAUCGGAUAUCAGCCGGGAUCUCACGCUCUCUGGAACUGUUUAAUUCAUCCAUCCACUGCACCUGCUGUUCUGCCAUCAGUGUCCGACAACGGCGCUUCAUCACCGGAUAACUGCCGUGAAAUACCGCUCUCUGGAACUGUUUAUUUCAUCCACCGCACCUGCUGUUCUGCCAUCAGUGUCCGACAACAGCGCUUCAUCAUCGGAUAACUGCCGUGAAAUACCGCUCUCUGGAACUGUUUCUUUCAUCCAUCCACCGCACCUGCUGUUCUGCCAUCAGUGUCCGACAAUAAAGCUUCGUCAUCGGAUAACUGCCGUGAGAUACCGCUCUCUGGAACUGUUUAAUUCAUCCAUCCACUGCACCUGCUGUUCUGCCAUCAGUGUCCGAGAACAGUGUGUCGUUCUGGGUCAUGG
ensembl:lncRNA